CUGCUCGGUGCCUCACACCACUAAACACAACGUUAGGGUGGAGACAGGAUUUUUAUCUGCACCACACUCACCUAAUGGCUGCAGAUCUCCUGAAUGUGUGUGGGCUGAGAGGCAAACCAAAGAAAUUCAACCUACUGGAACCUCACAGGUUAUAUGUGGUUUGGGGAGCAGUGACUUCUGCACAACCGGCAGUAACACUGGCACUUCCACCACUGCAUCCUCACUCCUCCCCCGGUCUGAGCAGAAUCCUCGGGGAAAGAUCCCCUCUCACUCCCGUGGAAAGCCUACCACAGUCUGGGCUGGGUGAGUAAUUCCAGUUACCCCGAGGUGAUAACGCUCUGAUAACAGCGCCCUAAAGGACAAGCUGCCAAGACAACUAAAAGAAAGUCUGGAUUGGAAUGCCCCGUUCCUCCUUAAAUAUAAAGGGUGGUCAUCGAUGUCCCGCAGCUGAUCCAUUCCCCUGAGGAAUGUGGCCACCUGCAAAGUGCUUCAUUGUUCCUUUGAAUCUGUGAACUCUUCAGCAGUCCUGGUGAUCUGUGCGCUAAGAGGCAACUAUUUCUCCCUGAAUCUGAUAGUGAGCUGGUGAAUUUCAAUGCUGAUGAAGACACCACCAAAGCAGCAUUCCCAGGAGUCUGCAGGAUUAGUGGAGAGCUCUCAUAUCAUUAGCUUUCUGUAACUGCCAGAAACUGGAGAAGACAGGGAAGAGGAGGAGAUUCUUUCUUCCUUCUUCUACCUUAAUUCAGCUGCCUUUUGUCACUAUUGAUCUUUCCCCCUGCUCUCAAAUUCAGCUGCUCUGAGUACAAACCUGCCUUGUGCUCACAGCUGAAAAGCUAAAGCACCAAACAUCCCCACAAUUUAAAUUAAUUUAAUGUACACCUUUGCUUACAUCUUCAUGUGUCCACAUUUCUUACAUUUGUGCUUCAUAUCCAUCCAUUUCUCUUUAGGGCACGAAGCUGCUUUUGGAAAAUGAAGGCCUGUGCCAGUUUGAACCAACAGAAGUGAUCAAAAGUCUAGAAAAGACACUCUGGAGAAAGAAGACCCUUGGAGGAGGUGGAUUCUGGUACCUGGAGGAGGUCGCCCGUCGUUUAUGUUGAAGGCUGUUGCAAAUAUACCAAAGGGAAACGCCCCAAUUCCAAAGGACAUCUGGAAGCCACCAUCACCAAAGCCAAAGCCCUGGAAUCCCUGCAGAGAAAAAAGCAGCAGGAGACAAAAAAGGUCCUGCUGAGGAACUGUCCUACUGCCUUCUCCCACGUCUGCUCAGGCUGUGCCAGCUGCUGUUUACAUGCACUCCGUGUCAUCUCCUCAACAAAACCAGAGAUCCCUCUCCAAAUGAACAUGUAUCCAACAGAUACCUGCUUUCUUUUGCUUGGAAUGCCAUGGUGCAGUAACAUCCCACAGAAAUUAUAGGAGCAGGUCUCAGUGCCAAAAAUCCAAGUUCAUACAUAAAUUAUGUAUUUUCAUGAUAGAUAUAUUUUGAUGGAAACACAUUUCCACAAAGCAUUUUCAAAGCAAAGUGUUCCUUGUAUUUACAUGGAGAACAAUCAAGCGUGAAGAGCAUUUCCAGUGAUACAACACUGGGUCGUUUUCACGAAGCACAAUCCAAGUUAUCCUGUUCUUUGGGAUGCUAAAGAGUACUGUAGGAAUGGAGUUCUCUACCACAUCACAGCUAUCAAUGACCAGCCAGCUGGGGAAUGAGCAAGGUGUGUAAGCUGUAGGAUCCUCACACGGCAUCUCAAGCACACACUAUGUCCUCCAGGAGGAAUAAAUACCACCAUCAACAGAAACAACUUAUCAGCCCGAGCUUGUUUCUU